rnacentral:lncRNA from 1 species
AAAGGGCUUGGCUAGUUUAUUAAAGGGCAUAAGACAAUCUCGAACUUUUUCACAAAACCAGACUUACCCAAUAUGUAACGUCAGGAACUGGGUCAAUCAUUUGAUACUAACUGAGCCAUCCAUGGCUAUCCACAGGAGAAAUUUAUUCGAAUUAAAGAACAAACAGCUAUGGCAAAGGCAUGCCCUUUUCCUAUUCUCAGAUACCUCCAAGGUCUGGGCCCAAAUUGAACCCAAACUCAAUAAAGAGUGGCAUACUUGCAUACUUGCAUAUGCUGAUCAAGGAUCGAACCCCUGCGAAGCCCAGACCAUAACAAGCAAAGAAACUAGGCUCCAAAUGACCAUUAUGAAAUCACAACCUUCAAAUAAAUUACUAGAUUUCAGCAUUACAAACAAAUGUACCACUAAUUGCUCGAAAGAAACAAACACAAAAAUUUAAGCAUCAUUCAGUUGACUGUCUAAGCUGUAAUUAUAAUUCCUUAUACACAAGAAAUUCACUCACAAAUCUGCAUACUAACGUGAUUUUUAGAUUCAACAUACAUGUAUAAGCAUAUGCUAAUCUACAUCCCAUCUCCCUCACCUUAAAUUCUCACUCCAAAUAACUUGAAAUUAACAGUUAGCUUGCGAAUCAAUAAAAGACCCAACAGAACCUACUUUAUGAUAACAUGCUCAACACAGAAAUUGAAUAAUGAUCCAUUUAACACAUUUCUAUCAAGUGUCGGUUCAGCUCAGAAUUGAUUACUAUAACAAGAACUCAAAACUAACAUUUAGCUAAUGAGUGCUUUACUAGAGAAUAAAUUCACAUCAGAUACAAACUAACUAUAGCUCAUAUACAUUACAUUGAAUAUAAGCUCAAAGUCAUAUCACCUAGGAGUAGUGAAACUAAAUUGAAGAUUCAAAACAUGUUAAAGUCAUGUUUAGCUUCAUUUUUUAUAAUAACAUCUAUAAAUCAACACAUAUAUUUUGAGCCAAAUUUAUCUCAAACAAGAGCUUCCCAUUUAAUCAUACUUACAUGUCCAACUACUCAUCCACAAGCUUGCUUAUACUUCUUCUAAACAUGUUAUUUAACAUUGAAACUAAAUAUUUAACUCCAAACCCAAGCACAACUUUAUAAUAUGUAGGUAACAGCUCAUUUAACAUCUAUCACUACAGAUCUACAACAUAAUGUGAAGCAACAAAAAGGAACAGAAAAAAACUAAGUCAAAUACAGCUUGUAUUCCAUCAAAUUCCACUCGAAUUACAAAGUUAACAUUUAGUCGUUGUUCAUGGGCUAGAGAGAUACCUGGAAAGCAAAAUAAUAGAAAAGUGAGAAGAUAAGAAGUCAACAGUAGCAGUCAGCCCAGAUUUGAUCAAUCAAGCAAUAAAAUCAGCUUAUAUAAAUUAAUGGAACAAUGGAAAAACUCUAAAACCAACUCUAAACCAUGACUUAAGCCAUUUCUCAAAUCAAAAGUGUAACUAGGGAAAUUUGAAGAAUCUUAACUAAAACUACAGAAAUCAGAAAUCCAAAUGAGAGAAUUUUGAUAGUUCUUUAAUAAUGGAAUUCAAGAAUUUCAAAAAAUGUUUUAAGAAUUUCAACUUUCUAAGCUUUUCAAGGGUUUUUUUCUCUUAAAAUAUGCCUUGAGCUUCAUGUAAGGAUGUAUUAAUAGGCGAGGUUUUAGGGCUGCAGAAAUGAGCUAGUUUUACACCCUAAACCUUUUUCAGUUUUCGUUUUUGCUUAGAUACCCUUAAGUUUAAAACCAGUUCUUUAAAAUCAGAUCCAGAACCCACCUUCCAAGAAACUUCCCCAUUCAGUUAUACAAGAUUCCCUUAUACAAAUGCCCUAAACUACCCCUUAAACCCCUUGUUUUUACCCUCAAGACCAAACAGGUAUCGGUCACAUUGACCCAAUGGUCCAACCAAAAAUUGGCUUAGAUUCCAACCGAAACCCUUUGAAAUGGGGUCUAAACUAACCUCAAAGCCCAAGAAGCAAAGACAACCCAAACCAAAUCAGUAGUUCAAUACAGGUAAAAGAAAACACUUAAAUAAUUUCAGAAAACUAAACCCUAAACUAAUUGACUAAUUAAUUAACACAAAUAAGCAGGGAAUUAACUGAGUUAUUAAAAUACACCUAAUUAAAUUAAACUAAGUGACAAAACAUGAGGUGAAAUCAUAGGUUUAAACAUGCCUUUAACAAAACUAAAUCGACCGAGAAAAUCAUAGAACAAACUUAAAAGAGAAAAACAAACACAAAGAAAAGAUGUCAUAGGUUCAGAACCCUGGUCUAGUCUCGGUUGAGAUGACAUUUGACCAAAGAAAAGAAGAAGAAAAGAAGAAGGAAAGAAGAAGGAAAGAAGAAGGAUAAGAGGUAAGUAAAACAUAAAUGAACUGAGAGAAAAAUGAAGGGAACUCACCUGCUAGGCUCGAAGUCGAUACUGGCAUUCUGAGUCAACCCAAAACAAUGUCAAACGCUUGUUAUUGGUGAAGAACAAACGAAUGCCAUUAUUUCGUACUAAAACAGGCUUGAACAAGUCAUGGAAUUCACAAGAGUAACCUUGCAUGCACAGGUUCGAUUUUAAGCUUUUAGGGCUCGAACCUCAGAUUCAAUAAUGGAGGUGCCCUGGACAGAUUCGAGGGAAACUAACAAUAGAUUGGGAAAGAGUGGGCUAUAGAGGUCUUAUGAUGUUGAUUUAGGGUGAUUUGAGGGUGGAGCCUCCACCGGUGGCAGUGGAAAAACGAGGUGGAGCUUUAGGGUGUCGCUUUUGAUCAGAAAUUCGAGAAGUUCCAGGGUGAUUUGAAGUAAACGGAGUGGGGAUUUGAGAUGAGGGGAGUGAGGUGGUUCUAGGGUUUGAUUUUGGGGCUAAUUGGUGGUCGUCCGCCGCCGUAGGCGAUUUCCGGCGGGUGGCUGGCGGUGGAAAUUGAGAGAGACGAAGGGGAGUCUCUGAGUUUGUUUUUAGGGGUUGGGGGUUUGAUCCGACCAUUAUAAGAAAAAGACCAAAUUAGUUGUGGGUAAUUAGAUUGAUGGGAUGCGACAGUCGAGAUCAAAUGGACACAAAACGGGGUCGUUGGGAGUUACACUGGAGGACCGGGUAGGGGAACAGAUCUGAGCUGG